GUGCUGUGGCUGCUACAGUGUAGCUGAAGGCAGUGUCUGUGAAGUUGCUCUGCCAUACUUAGAAGGAGACAUCCAGGUUACCAGUGUGAUCCACUCCACAGCUUCAGUGCAACCCAGGCUUCUGCUUACUAUUGUACAGCCAAAAAAAAAAGUGAGGCUUUAUGUGGGAAGCCCUUAGUAGGGAACUGAUUUACAUUACCCAAGCUAGCAGGCAGAGCUCCUUGUCAGCAGAGGUUGCUUUUUGGGUUGGUUCACAUGCCAGUCACGUCCACCCUUUGGAACAGCGAACAGCAACACCGGGGCUUCAUCAAGUGAUGAGAACAGACGUCAAACUGGCCUAUGAAUAUUGAUGUGGAGGCUAGUCUGCUUUCGUAGAGGAGCAGAAGGAAGCAAGAUGGCUGCCCUUUAGGAUUUGUUAGAAAG